UACGUAGGCAGCGAGCGUUGUUCGGAAUUACUGGGCGUAAAGAGUGUGUAGGCGGUGCUCUAAGUUCGGUGUGAAAUCUCCCGCUUAACUGGGAGGGUGCGCCGGAAACUGGAGUGCUCGAGCGUGGGAGAGGAAAGCGGAAUUCCUGGUGUAGCGGUGAAAUGCGUAGAUAUCGGAAGGAACACCAGUGGCGAAAGCGGCUUCCUGGUCCAGCACCGACGUCAGGCACGAAAGCGUGGGGAGCAAACAGG
rnacentral:rRNA from 1 species